rfam:Myotis brandtii contig283649, whole genome shotgun sequence.
GCUGGUUUGGCUCAGUGGAUAGAGCAUCAGUCUGCCUGCGGACUGAAGGGUCCCUGGUUCGAUUCCAGUCAAGGGCA